UGAGCUAAAAAAGUACAAGCGUCAACAUAUAACAUGUUGUAUAUAUGAACUUUUACUAAUUUACUAUUGCAUGUCUUAUCAAACAAUUCAUAAUAAAAACACACGUUUAUUAUUAUUGCAUGUCUUAUCACACCAUUGAUAAUAAAAAUACACAUAUUUAUUUUCUGGGUGAAUAAAACACUCCCCUAAGUAUAUUUCUUGCACUCGUUGUUGUAAUCAUCCAGAUUCCUUCUGGCAUCAGUCGCCUCUACAACAAAAGAAUACAAAUAGAUGUUAGAACUUCAUAUUUUAGGUGUCAGAUAAUGAGGCUGGAACUUUAUAGGCAAAAUAUAAAGAAAAGGAAAACAUAAAAUCAUGGAUCACUACAAUUACUAUCCACACAUUUAACUAAUAAUUUACAAUUUUAUAAGAUAAAAGAUAAUACGAAUGGUUAAAUUAAUUGUAUACUUUUUAGAUAUAUUGACAAUUUACAAAGCAUGUGAGAUUAUCUACAAAUUAUUGCUAUCAUUUUAUAGGUUGAUCACAUACUCUAUGUAUAUUAACAAUGUAAUAGUUUUAUAUUAUUAUUAUAUCAUUCAUUUUCAAUCAUCAUUAACUGUUAAGUAAAAGUAAUAUAAAUGAACAGUGUAUGAUAUAUGGAGUCACAUCUCCCAUCUCAAAUUUGUAUCACUUCAUUUCCCUUUUGUUUUUCAUUGGUCAGACAAGAAAAACAUGAACAAAAUCUAUAUUAACUUUACAUUUGCUCAACAAGGAGAAAUAAGGGGCACAUGAAUUGUUACACAUUUCGUAUAAAAUAUAAGCUUCCUUGAUAUAUUAAUUACGUAUAAAUUUUUACACUAUCAAUAAAUGUAUAUUUCAAUCAUUACAAAAAAAUAAUGCAAACAUACCUUGUAAGGUGAAUGAUAUGCAUCCUGCCUGGCACCUUAUUAGGCAGGAAGUCGGUCGCAGAUAGCAACGCUGAACGCAUCUAGCCAUACAAAUGCAUUGCCUAAUAUCUAUGGCUGAAUAAGCUUGUGCAAUUAACACAAACACAAUCAACAAUUGCAUUACCAUCAUAUUCAUCUUCAUCUUCUGAAAUAGCGUGUUGUUUUGAGACUGAGAACACAUUCCAAAU
rnacentral:lncRNA from 1 species